GACAAACGCUGGCGGCGUGCCUAAUACAUGCAAGUCGAACGCAGUGGGGACGGGUGAGUAACACGUGGGUAACCUCCCAUCAGAGGGGAUAACACUUGGAAACAGGUGCUAAACCGAUACUGAUGGAUGGACCCGCGGUGCAUUAGCUAGUUGGUGAGGUAACGGCUCACCAAGGCCACGAUGCAUAGCGGACUUGGGAGGGUGAUCGGCCACACGGUGACUGGGACACGGCCCAGACUCCUACGGGAGGAAGCAGUAGGGAAUCUGCGGCAAUGGACGCAAGCCUGACCAAGCAACGCCGCGUGAAGGAAGACGGUCUUCGGAUUGUAAACUUCUUUAGACAGGGACGCGGUACCUGUAGAAUAAGCCACGGCUAACUACGUGCCAGCCGCCGCGGUAAUUC
rnacentral:rRNA from 1 species